rnacentral:rRNA from 1 species
GCUCCCAUCCAGGAAGGCGCAGGCGCGUAAAUUACCCAUCCUGAUACGGGGAGGUAGUGACAUAAAUAACAAUACGGGGCCCAUCGGGUCUUGUAAUUGGAAUGAGUACAAUUUAAAUCCCUUAACGAGGAUCAAUUGGAGGGCAAGUCUGGUGCCAGCAGCCGCGGUAAUUCCAGCUCCAAUAGCGUAUAUUAAAGUUGUUGCAGUUAAAAAGCUCGUAGUUGGAUUUCUGGUAGGAGCGACNCGUGCCCGAACUUGAUUGUUCGAGUAUUGUGUUGUCUUCAGCCCAUCCUCGUGGAGAACUUUUCUAACAUUAACUUGUUGGGGAUUGGGACCCCGCGUCGUUUACUGUGAAAAAAUUAGAGUGUUUAAAGCAGGCAUUAGCUUGGAAUACGUUAGCAUGGAAUAUUAAGAUAGGACUUUUGGUACUAUUUUGUUGGUUUGCAUACCAAAUU